ensembl:lincRNA Gm14773 predicted gene 14773
AGACCACCACAAGGCAUCAGGAUGGUGAAGCAACUGAGAAAACACCCAAUCUGUUUCAGGAUGUUGAGCCAUCAACCUCGACUGCUGAACCAAAGACAGUGAAGAUUUGCAGUUAUCAGUCCCGGUCCAAAUUUAGCAAAAAGAUAAGAAGGCCCAAGGUACCUACCAAGACGAACAAGAAAACCCUGCGAAUAGUGAUGAAAAGAAAGACAUCUGUAAACAAUACACCACCGAAAAAGGUGUUUCAAUGUGUGAUUGAGAAUUUGGGUAGACUCAACAUACCACCUAAAAAAUAUGUGGCAUCUGAGCAAUGGCCAACUGUGUAGAGACUAAAUAUAUAGUUACUACACAGUGCUUUGACUCUGAAAAUAAAAUCAAUCUGAUAUGAAAA